AUUGAACGCUGGCGGCAUGCUUUACACAUGCAAGUCGAACGGUAACAGGCCGCAAGGUGCUGACGAGUGGCGAACGGGUGAGUAAUGCAUCGGAACGUGCCCAGUCGUGGGGGAUAACGCAGCGAAAGCUGCGCUAAUACCGCAUACGAACUAUGGAUGAAAGCGGGGGACCGAAAGGCCUCGCCCGAUUGGAGCGGCCGAUGUCAGAUUAGGUAGUUGGUGGGGUAAGGGCCCACCAAGCCAACGAUCUGUAGCUGGUCUGAGAGGACGACCAGCCACACUGGGACUGAGACACGGCCCAGACUCCUACGGGAGGCAGCAGUGGGGAAUUUUGGACAAUGGGCGCAAGCCUGAUCCAGCAAUGCCGCGUGCAGGAAGAAGGCCUUCGGGUUGUAAACUGCUUUUGUACGGAACGAAACGGUCCGGGUUAAUACCCUGGGCUAAUGACGGUACCGUAAGAAUAAGCACCGGCUAACUACGUGCCAGCCGCCGCCGUAAUAC
rnacentral:rRNA from 1 species